CCUACGGGUAGCAGCAGUGGGGAAUAUUGGGCAAUGGAGGCAACUCUGACCCAGCAACGCCGCGUGAAUGAUGAAGGUCUUCGGAUUGUAAAGUUCUUUUCUCAGGGAAGAAGAAAGUGACGGUACCUUAGGACUAAGCCUCGGCUAACUACGUGCCAGCAGCCGCGGUAAUACGUAGGAGGCAAGCGUUAUCCGGAAUGACUGGGCGUAAAGGGUGCGUAGGGGGUUUGACAAGUUGGUAGCGUAACUCCGGAGCUAAACUUCGGAACUACUACCAAAACUGUUGGACUCGAGUGCAGGAGGGGCAACUGGAAUUUCUAGUGUAGCGGUGGAAUGCGUAGAUAUUAGGAAGAACACCGGUGGCGAAGGCGAGUUGCUGGACUGUAACUGACACUGAGGCACGAAAGCGUGGGGAGCAAACAGGAUUAGAUACCCUAGUAGUC
rnacentral:rRNA from 1 species